AUUGAUAUUGAUUACUUUCAAAAAAUGUUCAUAUUUGUUAAAAUAUAAAUAUUAUCUCGAUUUAUUUAAAUUUCUCUACUUUUCCUACCUUGAUCUUGCAUUUGAUAAUUUGUAAAUAUUAUUUUUUUGUACCUCAUGUGUCCUUGAUAUGGUUUGAGAGAAAUAAACAUUCAUACAUUAGAAGGACAUAUGAUGACCGUCAGAAGUAACUAUAUAUAUUUUUAAAAACCAUUCCCUGUAAAUCUGACCAGGUAAAAACACGAAGACUAUGUUCUUGUGAUAAAUGUGUCACUUUCAAUUCCAUAAGUUUGAUAUCUCAAAACAUUUUUACCAAAACAAAGUACCCUGUUAUAUAAUCUUAAUGUGCACAUGGUUAACGUCAAUAUGUAAAAUAGUUUUGUGAAUGUAAUUAAGUUUGUAUGGAACGUAUAACAGAAUUUGAUAUUUGUGUUAUUCCCAAUUCAAAGUUCAAACAAGGUCAUUAAAAACAAUGUUCAUAUCAAAACAAGUCGAAUAAGGUUUUAUUUUUAGAUGUUGGAGAUCUUUUUGCAAAUCUUCGUUACUAGAACUUUGUGGUCUUUAUUUUUCUAAUAUGAAAUCAUGGAACUGUUAAUAAUUUUUAAAUAAUUAUUUUGCGCAUAUGUACUAAACAAAGUUUGUAUAACAGAAUAUCAGUGAAAAAUUGCAUUUUCAAUCAUUACUGAUGGAAGCAAAAAUUCAUACAAGGAUGUGAAAUAAAGAUGGUAAUUUUUCAAAUCGUAAAGAAUAAAAGAUAAAAAUAGGCAAGCUACAUGCAACACAACCCAAGCUAACACAUAACUUGACUAUGCUACACAUAAAUGACUAUUAAGAAUGCAUAAAAUAAAACUAAUAAUAAUGAGCAUUACUCUACAAAAAAUAUUUUUAUAUCAAAAUCUUAUCAAAAUCUUUUGCAGAUAUGGACAUCCAUCGUGUUUUUAUAAACUACACGUACAAAGUUUUGUUAAUUCCGUUCAGCAAUUGUUGCACUGACAAUAUAUCUCAGUAGAUGUUCAGUAUUUGCCAAAAUUCGAAUAUUCCAAGAAAAUAAUGGAAACAGAAUUUCCUCCAAAUGCCCAUCUACACAUUAUAUCCUUACCAUAAAACUAUUCAGUGUUUCAAGAGAGUUGCGCUGACAGUUUGUGACGUAACCACAAUUUGAAAGUAAAAAUUCCCAAAAUGGUACAUAAUUCACAUCUACACAAUAUGUCCUUAUUAAUUCCUAAAUUACUGUAAAUUAGAUUACGACGAGUUGUAAUGACACUGUUUCAGACGUUUUCUUUUCCAUAUUGGUCGAAAUUCCAAAGUCAGAAAGGCAAAUCCCGUCAAAAAUAAUGGAAUUUUCUAACAUUAUGUACAACUACACAUGAUGUGCCUUUAUCUGGUGAGUUUCUUGAAAUUCUGUACACCAAUUUAAGAGGGUCGGAUGGUCGUGUCAAUUCUUUAAGACAUCUGAUGCUGGUCAAAUUUUUUAAGCUAAAAAGGGGCAAAAUAAAAUCCACAGAAAAAUAGUAGAAUCAGGACUUUCUGUGAAUAUCCAAUUCUACACAUAAUGUGCUCAAAAUAACCUCAUAGUUUUAUGUAAUUCUGCUCAGUGGUAGAAUGAUACAUGUAGUUGUGCCAAUUUAUUAAAACCUAGAACUAAGACUUGUGAAAAACAAUACCUCUUCAACUUAUUGUGCUUCUCUAAUGGUCAAGAACAUAAUUAUGUUUAUUUUCUACUUUAAUCCUUUUUUAAAAAUGCAAAUGAAGCUGCAAAAGUUUGCAUAUGAUUUUUACCUCUAGAUAUGUUUUUAGCACAAAAUCAAAAACACAAAUGUCAAAUAGUCAACUUUAAUAAAUAUAAUAAAAAAGAGUCAUAAGAAUAACAAAAACAAAUAUCACAUAUUAGUGCAUUGUAUAUUUACUGAUAAUAAAAUAUUCAGCUGCAGGCAAGAAGGAUUUCUUAAAAAUAAGAAAUUAUUAAACACAUAUUAUUCAUGAAAACAGAACAGCCAUCCCUACCAAAUCAUCCUAGGGUCAGUUUAUAGAACAGCCACCCCUACCAAGUAUCAUCCUAGGGUUUGUUUAUAAAACACCCACUCCUACCAAGUAUCAUCCUAGGUUUGUUUAUAAUGAACAGCCACCCUUGCCAAGUAUCAUUCUAGGGUCUGUUCAGAGUUAUCUUAAAUUUUUUUUUAUCAUUGAGGUCAAUAGGAAUUUAUUUUAAAGGGGCAUAAACGAAAUAAAAAAAACAAAAGAAUUACAAAAACAUGGAUGACUUUAGCUGUAACUACUGACUACAUAAUGUGCUAGUGUAAUAUUUUGCAAUGUUUGAGUAACAAAAAAUUUCAUUUCCAUAAAAAUAACUAUUUCUUAGAUUGAUUUUAUCUUCUUCCAUGCUUGAAAUUAGACAUU